ACUCCUACGGGAGGCAGCAGUGGGGAAUAUUGCACAAUGGGCGCAAGCCUGAUGCAGCCAUGCCGCGUGUGUGAAGAAGGCCUUCGGGUUGUAAAGCACUUUCAGUCGUGAGGAAGGUGGUAGUGUUAAUAGCACUAUCAUUUGACGUUAGCGACAGAAGAAGCACCGGCUAACUCCGUGCCAGCAGCCGCGGUAAUACGGAGGGUGCGAGCGUUAAUCGGAAUUACUGGGCGUAAAGCGCAUGCAGGUGGUUUGUUAAGUCAGAUGUGAAAGCCCGGGGCUUAACCUCGGAAUUGCAUUUGAAACUGGCAGGCUAGAGUCUUGUAGAGGGGGGUAGAAUUUCAGGUGUAG
rnacentral:rRNA from 1 species